CCGCAGCCGCGUUACACUGAUGCGUGCAACGAGUUUAGAACCUUGGCCGGGAGGCCUGGGUAAUCUGUGAACGCGCAUCGUGAUAGGGAUAGAUUAUUGCAAUUAUUAAUCUUGAACGAGGAAUUCCUAGUAAACGCAAGUCAUCAGCUUGCAUUGAUUACGUCCCUGCCCUUUGUACACACCGCCCGU
rnacentral:rRNA from 1 species